UGUUAAAAAUUUCAUCAAUUUCUAUUGUCAAAAACUGGCGUGGCUGUUUAAAUAAUCAAACAGUUACACGUGAUGUGCCACACAAACUCAUUCUAACAUACAAGACAAGUUUUGAACAGUAAAAAUAGAUGAAAUUUUUAAUA
rfam:Gossypium hirsutum cultivar TM-1 chromosome 6, whole genome shotgun sequence